rnacentral:lncRNA from 1 species
AUAUUCGGGGAGGGUGUCAAGUACACCGUGGCAAAAUUUCAUUAUGAUAUGCGUGUUCCUUACAAAGUUAUUCUAGAAAAACGUGCCCUCAAACUCUGAAACGCUUAGUAGUACCUAUAGAAGUACCUACCCUAGUAACUUCAGUACCAGAAGAUGGAAUAUUCUACUCUGCGGAGACAUGGAAGGUAAGAAAUAUAUUUGAUCUCGGUUGAAACAUUUAAUAGUAUGAAAUUUUGAGUUACUAUGAUGAGAAGAAUAAUAAAACCAUAAGAGUAUACAGUUACUUGCGCAUCUAGAUGCUCAACUGUUGAACCGCCAACUUUUUGGUUUACAAAUACGAAUUACAAGUAACAAGCUGUCCCGCCGGACCAACAAUGACAGGACGAGAAUCAGACUGAUAAUACUCUUUUAUCCUGCACUGUGUGAGACACAAGCCUGAUAAUACCUGCUCACAGCCUCACUGCACUUUUGGGACACUAUAAGUUGUGUUAAAGCUGCCAACGCUCACCUACACAGCCUCAACAAAGACACCACGAAGAGCCCGGCCCCAACCUACUCCUAGUGCCCUGCUCUCCUGCUUCACAUGAGAAUUGGUUUACUACAACAAGAUGUCCAUUGGUGGUGGUGGUGUCGCUGAGUUUAUCGCCUAGCUAUGCUGUACACUUCUUAUAACAACUUCAAUAUGAUGUAUGUACCCAUGGAUUCGGCAUCAACAAAGAAUUCAGUCAAAGAUGCUGUCAGCCACUAUAGAAGGGAGGAAGCUAGAAUUGUGAUAUUCAACUGGAUGAACUUCUCUUCCAUUCUUGGUGAUGUACUUAAAUAAUGCUCUUUUUUUCAAUGAUGUGUCAGUGAUGACUAUAAUGGUUAUGCUGUAAAUGCAUAGGUUCAUUAUAUUUUUUUCUCUCUGAAAUGCUUUUUUUAAUGGUGUAAUGAUUAUAAUAAUGACAACAAUGCUGUCAAGUUUUCUCCAUUUACAUAAGUGUAGUGAUGAUUACAAUGAUGACGAUGUAAUUUUUCUUCAUGAUUGGUGAUGUAUUUAUAUGGUGACGAUGGUGUUGAUGAUAUAAAGUUCUCUCCACACUGGAUGAUGUAUAGUUAAAUGCAGAGUUCAUUAUGAUUUAUUUUUUCUUGAAUUCUCUUUCUGCUGCAAAUUUUCUCACAUUUAUAGAUUUUCCAUGGGCAAUAGGACAGCAUUCAGGUUCCCAUGUUCCUUUUAACUGAUAUCCUGCUUUCUCUAAAAGGAUGACUUCAGUUUUUCUUUUUUUCUUUUUUUUUUUCUUUUUUCUUUUUUAUUCAGCUUGGUUAUCAGAUAGGUAUUCUUUAGAUUUCAGUUUUUUCAUUCCUUCUGUGCUUCUCUUAUAAACACAUACAGUUUAAGUUUACUUAUUUUUUCAAGAAUGUUUUAGAUACUGGAAAGAAUUUUUUUUUUUUUUUUUUUUUUUCAUAUACUUUGGCUUAGGUUAAGUGAUUCCUCACAGAGGUAAUGAAAUAUUUUUGUACUUCUGUAAAUUCUCAGAUAAAUGUGUGAUAUACUUAAGAUCUGUUAAUAUAGAAAAGAAUCUCACAUGAGUGCUCUUUUCUGCAUAAAGCAAUUCCCAAAUUAGUAUAUGUGAAGGACCUAUAUAUGUGUUGUACUGUUAUCAUUAAGUGUACAUAUUAUGGAUGUUAACUAGAAUUUUGUAAAGAAAUUGAUACUGUUAAGUUGUUCACAAGGUGCUUUAAACUGCAAAUACUGUUAGUCAGCACUGUUCCAGUGAUAAACAAUAAAA